AGCAAAAUGAAGAAGGAUGGAGGGGCCUCUCAACCAAUCAAAUGUAUGCCUCACAUUGAAUUUUGAAGAGUGCAGGGAAAUUGCCAUUCCAGAAAAACAGAUAGUCCUAAGGUAGGUAAGAAUUCCCAUUCUUUUCUGAACUUAUAGACGAUAAAGUUUAGCAACUAAAUAAAAAUUUAAAGGAAACAUUUUAAAACUUAGAUUAUUUAUUUCCUCCUCAAUUGGUUCAGGGAAUUUAAGCUAUAAAAAAAAUAGAAUAAAAUCACCCGUGAUAAACAUCUGGUUGAGUUUUGCUAGUUAUUUGUAUUUUAAGCAUUCCAGCUUUCACUAUUUGAAUGAAUGGAAUUGAAGUGGGAUAAUUGUUACUGUUCAUAACUCUGAACUUUCAAAAGAGAACAUAGCAUUGUUUUUGAAACCUUAGUAAUGUGGGAAAUUGUUUGUCAUUCAAUUAACUUGCUCAUUUUUGGUGAACAUUGCAUGCCCCAGCAGAAGUGGUGUGGUUUAAUGGGUGGAUUUUCUAGCUAUCAGAGUCUCUAACUCUCUACUCAACGAUAACCAGGGUGAAAGUGUCUGUUAGAACAUAGGUCUCUUGUCCAGCUAGAGACCCUUUAAAGAAAGGAAUCUGGGGAAAGUCUGGCAGAAUUGUAAAUAAAACAUAUGGUUUAGUUAUACCAGAGUGGGUGCCCACAG
rnacentral:lncRNA from 10 species